GGUCAAAACUCUAAUUUGGCAUUUAAAUUAGAAAGAUCAUAUCAUAAGGAACAUGUGUACCAAGUUUGAAGUCGAUAGGACUUCAACUUCAUCAAAAACUACCUCGACCAAAAACUUUAACCUGAAGCGGGACAGACGGACGAACGGACGAACGGACGAACGAACGGACGAACGGACGCACAGACCAGAAAACAUAAUGCCCCUCUACUAUCGUAGGUGGGGCAUAAAAAUCACAUAAGUACCACUU
rnacentral:lncRNA from 1 species